CCAAAUCUGUAUCGACCCGGAUCCAUUAAAGUUGCCGGAUCGGUUGGGUACUUCGGUUGAAGCGUAUAGUUUGCAUGAAUCUUGACUUAUUCCGUCGGAAUUUCAGCCCUAAAAAGCUAGAAAAUCGAAUCCGUUCGGUCCUGUUCUUAAUUUGUUAUGAGUGAGCAAAAAAUUCUGGAUACGGAGACCUGUUUUACAGGUACGCAAGAGGUGACUGAUUUUUCUCAAAUACUUUUGAAAUGUUUGUGGAGUGCAGUUUAGGGUUUAGGCGUCACUUUUAGGGAUUUUCUUAGAUAAUCGAAUAGGGAGUGUUGGGUUUGUUCUUACUCUUUGAUACUUGAAGGAUGGGUGAUGUUUUGAAUGCAUUUGUUUUAUGUUUUAAUUGCUCGAUUCCUAGUUCUAUUUCAUUCAUUUUUUUAGUGAACGAAGGUCGUUUUCGUUCAUAAAUUUUUUUUUUGGAUGAAGGUUAUACAAAAAUAUAAUGAUAGUUCUAAUGUGGAGAAGAACCCUUCAAAUCUCAAUGAAAAUGAAGAAGAUAAGAAAAUGGGAAGUGAUACUAUACUGAGUAAAGGUGAAGACGACGAAGAUUCCAAUGAAGACGAAGAAGAAGGAGAGUGUGGAUUCUGUGUUUUCAUGAAGGGAGGGGGUUGCAAAGAUUCAUUCAUUGCAUGGGAAAAGUGUGUGUAAGAAGCAGAAAAAAACAAGGAAGAUAUUGUGGAGAAAUGCUUUGAGGUGACAGGAAUCCUUAAGAAAUGCAUGGAUGAACAUGCUAGCUACUAUGAACCCAUCACACGAGCUGAGAAAGCCAUGGAGGAGGAAGCCCAAAGAGAACAUGAUGAGCAAUCCAAAUCUUGGGGUACACCGAUUCGAGUUGAAGAUGACAAAGGUCGAGAAGCUUCAACUGAUCCAUCUCCUGUUACAAAGAAUAUAGAGAAUUAACCAUGUAUGUGGAAAAUAAGUUUUUUUACUUUCUUCCAUUCCAGAUUUUUUAGACAGCUGAGAAAAACUCCCAUUUACAAGAUUUUUGAUUCCUUGGUAGUUAUCCAAGAAAUCCUGGUUUGCCUUUUGCUAGAUAAUUCAACUUUUUUAAUUGAAGCCUAUUUGAAAUCAUUUUAAAUAUUAAGUUCCAAAAUCCAAACCAAUCGAACCAUUUUUAAUUUGAAUCAAAAUGUGGAUAUCUGGAGGGACUAGGGAGGUAUAGUAAACCUUCUGUCUGCCUUUGAUUUCUCCAGAGUCCGAGUCGAUAAUAAAUUGUAACAAUUGUGAGAAACUGAAACCUUCCUCCGCUUGUAUACAAGCCCUACAUUGGGUCAUUGAAGUUUCGUGAUACAUAUUUUUGUUUCUAUGAUAAAUAAUGCUACAAUUUUCAUGAUUCAUAAGUCAUUGAAGUUUCAUAGCUAUCAAUUCCUGCUUAUGUAUUGUCAUUUUCUUAUUUCUUGAAUCAGUCUGUCCAUUGAAGAACAUGAUCUUAUAAUCUCCACAAGUCCACAACUGUUCUAAGAAAACUUUCUGAAAAUUGGUAUGCUUAAGAUUGUAGUUUUAGGGAGAAGAAUGAUGAUUUAUAAAGAUUAACUCUCUGGCUUAUAUUACAAGAUUCCAGUCCUUUUAAUAAGGAGAGAUUUUGGAAAUCCAAAUAAUCUAAUAAGUAAUAACUAAUAACCUAUAUCAUUGGAAAUCAUUUUAAUUAUUGAAAGUAUGAUAUUUCAAGUGUAUGGACUAUGGAGAAUGUUAAAUACUUAAGUUAGUCAUUUCUCAAUGUUGUGCAAGAUUUUUUUUUUGAAUUAAUCAAUGUUGUGCAAGAUGUGUACUGUUUUAGUCAUUCAUUUUUUAUAAGAAGUAUUUAUAAUAAAUUUUCGCUUAGAAAAAAAUAUAAAGAUCAAAAACCCAAUUCAGAUUGCAAGCUAUCUUCUUUGUAUAUUUUUCUUUCUAGAUGUUAUCAUACUAUAUUAUUCUUUGCAUCAUUUUUCAAUUUCCAUGUGAACUUAUUCGUCAUUUUAUUCUUUUUAGAAAUUAGUUUUGAGAUUUAUGUAUGAACAGUUGUAGACACUAUCGAACUUAGCUUUGUAGAAACAUCAUUUAGCUUAGGCAUUAGCAUUUUGAUUUAUUCAGCUGAAUAUUACGUAUAUAUCCUUUCUCUUCAAACAUGAGUCGUCAUUAAUGAAUGUACCAAAUGUCAUAUCUGACUAUAAUAGAAUCAAGUGAUUUAAAUGCUGAAUUAUGGUUCAAAAUGAUGUCAUUUAUGACCUAGCUACAACUUACAACAUCAUGCAGAUCAAUAUUCUUGGUUCAAUUGGAUAUUACAUUUGUUUUCAUCAGGUUGUAAUGGUUUAUACUUUUAUUAUAUUGCACUGAUGGUAAGUGAUCACUUGGAAAGUUUUCACAUGCUAAGAAUAUAUUUAGUUGCCUUGCAUGUUGAGUUGAAUUUUUUUGUAAGUUUUAGUUCAUUUUUUGAUGAAAAAGUUCAGUUCUUUAGAAUUCUUUGAAUAACCUAACUUAUUUUCUUCUACAGAAUUCAGAAUGAUUGAUGGUGUAAAGUAUGACAUAUUCUAAGUUCAUACUCUAAUCAGCAGAGAGUACGUAUUCUUAAUACAUUUAUAGUGUUAUCAACUACUAACUAGUAAGAAUAUUGGACUUGUGAUCAUUCUAAGUUGACACUACUCUGAUCUUUUCUCUCUCUAUUAUUGCAUAUUACAUUCGAGUGGUUCUACUUUUAAACAUGGAUGCAGAGUUUUAAAGUUUUUAACUAUUAAAGAGUUGAUGCUUUUGAGAUUUUAGUGCAUGUAUCCUUUUUUUUCAUUGAUGCUUGGAUAUUCUAGGGUUAAUGGAUUCAUGGAAAUAUUUAAGGGGGAUGGGAUACUUACUCCAAGAAUAUGCUGAUUUAAUUCAUUUUAUUGUUACUAAUCUAAAAUCUUGUUGCAUGUUAAAGAAUAUAAACUCGAGUUCAUACUUCAAUACUUCAUACAUGCUAGUAUACUGUUUCUAUUCUAUUUUCAGAAUAUGUGCACAAUUUGACAUCAAUAAAAAAGUUCGGUCACACCAGUAUCUUUUAAUAGUUAAUACACAGUGGGUUUUCUGCAGUCAUUCUUACAAUUAAAAAAUUUCUAAGACCAUAAUAUUAUGGAAAUCAAAAUAUAAAUUUACCUACAAAGCUGGCAUGUGGCUAUGAUCAUCCUAUAUUCUUCAAUUUAUUUUUUGCAAAUGAUAUCAAGAAUAUAACUGAGAAUUUUUUAAUUGUUAUCAUGAAUUUGAAAUACUGAAACGGAUCCAAUUUGGAAUCUAUUUAAUUCCAGAUUGAAUCAUUCAGCAAAAAUUUAUAUUGUUUUCCUGUUGGAAGACAAUCUGUCAGGUACUCAGGGCUAUGCAAUUAGUAUUAUACUUGUUGGUUGAUGAGGGUGUCUUCUUCUCAUUCUCACUCAAGUCUAAUACAGAUGAGAUGGUAUCAUUAUUGGCCAUAUACAAAAGCUAAAGAUUGAAGGGAAAUGGUAGGUUAUUUUUUCUGUUGAUUUUGGGUUAAAAUGACAACCAAGUAUGAUUUGCUUUUGUUUCCUAGAUAGUUCGAUCAUUCUAUUGAAAUUGCUUUCAUAUUUAUAUUGCUGUCAUUUAAUUAAAUUUUUGUGUGUUUUCAGCCAUUUCACUAUUUCAGGUGUAUCUAUUAUUCCUAAAUUUCUUUAAAUGCAUCAGUACUCAGUAGCAACAGCCAACAGGUAAAGUAGAUCUUUACAAAUCCAUUUUGAUUUCAAUAAUGAGAAUAUCCAUAUUUCUAAACUGGUACAGGUGUUGCUUCAAUUGGUAAACCAAUCAACUUUGGUAAGUGUAUUUACGUAUUAGUACAACUACUUUACACAACAAAUACUGGUCUCCUUUCAUUUUUUGUUUAAUUUGAUUUGUGUUUUUUUAAUCUACAGACUGCAGAUGAUUAUUCCAUCUUAGUUUCAUGAUGAGCAUACCACCCAUUUAUUAUCCGUCAAGUGGGAAGCAACGGAAUUAGAAUCGCAUGCCUUAUUGUUCUAAUUGAACACCUCAUGGAUCUCAUUUCAUUUCUUCAACAAUAAGCUAUAAGGAAUAUUCUUUGAUAAACCAAUCAGCAUUCAGCACAUUCAUAAUAAUAAUUUUAGAUCCUUAAUAAAUUAAUUUAAUUUCAUACAGAAAAUAUACUCUGUUACAUUAUUUACAUAGGAAUAGGAUUAUAGGGUGGUGUUUAAUAAUUAAUUAAUAAAAGAUAAAAGAGGUUUAAACUUUUAAACUUAGCCUGCCAUUGAGCGAGGAUCAAAUCAGCC
rnacentral:lncRNA from 1 species